GACGAACGCUGGCGGCAUGCCUAAUACAUGCAAGUCGAGCGAACAGAUGAAGUGCUUGCACUUCUGACGUUAGCGGCGAACGGGUGAGUAACACGUAAGGAAUCUACCUAUAAGCGGGGGAUAACAUUCGGAAACGGGUGCUAAUACCGCAUAAUAUCUUCUUCCGCAUUGAAGAAGAUUGAAAGACGACUCUGCUGUCACUUAUAGAUGACCUUGCGUUGCAUUAGUUAGUUGGGGGGGUAAUGGCCUACGAAGAUGAUGAUGCCUAGCCGACCUGAGAGGGUGAUCGGCCACAUUGGGACUGAGACACGGCCCAAACUCCUACGGGAGGCAGAAGUAGGGAAUCUUCCGCAAUGGGCGAAAGCCUGAGGGAGCAAUGCCGCGUGAGUGAAGAAGGCCUUCGGGUCGUAAAACUCUGUUAUAAGAGAAGAACAAAUUGUAGAGUAACUGCUACAGUCUUGACGGUAUCUUAUCAGAAAGCCACGGCUAACUACGUGCCAGCAGCCGCCGUAA
rnacentral:rRNA from 1 species